rnacentral:rRNA from 1 species
UUGCUCUUGGGUGACGAGUGGCGGACGGGUGAGUAAUGUCUGGGGAUCUGCCCCAUAGAGGGGGAUAACCACUGGGAAACGGUGGCUAAUACCGCAUAACGUCGCAAGACCAAAGAGGGGGACCUUCGGGCCUCUCACUAUCGGAUGAACCCAGAUGGGAUUAGCUAGUAGGCGGGGUAAUGGCCCACCUAGGCGACGAUCCCUAGCUGGUCUGAGAGGAUGACCAGCCACACUGGAACUGAGACACGGUCCAGACUCCUACGGGAGGCAGCAGUGGGGAAUAUUGCACAAUGGGCGCAAGCCUGAUGCAGCCAUGCCGCGUGUAUGAAGAAGGCCUUCGGGUUGUAAAGUACUUUCAGCGGGGAGGAAGGCGGUGAGGUUAAUAACCUUACCGAUUGACGUUACCCGCAGAAGAAGCACCGGCUAACUCCGUGCCAGCAGCCGCGGUAAUACGGAGGGUGCAAGCGUUAAUCGGAAUUACUGGGCGUAAAGCGCACGCAGGCGGUCUGUUAAGUCAGAUGUGAAAUCCCCGGGCUUAACCUGGGAACUGCAUUUGAAACUGGCAGGCUUGAGUCUUGUAGAGGGGGGUAGAAUUCCAGGUGUAGCGGUGAAAUGCGUAGAGAUCUGGAGGAAUACCGGUGGCGAA